rnacentral:rRNA from 1 species
GAUCCUGGCUCAGAUUGAACGCUGGCGGCAGGCCUAACACAUGCAAGUCGAACGGUAACAGGAAGCAGCUUGCUGCUUCGCUGACGAGUGGCGGACGGGUGAGUAAUGUCUGGGAAACUGCCUGAUGGAGGGGGGAUAACUACUGGAAACGGUAGCUAAUACCGCAUAACGUCACAAGACCAAAGAGGGGGACCUUCGGGCCUCUUGCCAUCGGAUGUGCCCAGAUGGGAUUAG